rnacentral:rRNA from 1 species
UACACUCCUGCGGGAGGCAGCAGUGGGGAAUUUUGGACAAUGGGCGAAAGCCUGAUCCAGCCAUGCCGCGUGCAGGAUGAAGGCCUUCGGGUUGUAAACUGCUUUUGUACGGAACGAAACGGCCUUUUCUAAUAAAGAGGGCUAAUGACGGUACCGUAAGAAUAAGCACCGGCUAACUACGUGCCAGCAGCCGCGGUAAUACGUAGGGUGCAAGCGUUAAUCGGAAUUACUGGGCGUAAAGCGUGCGCAGGCGGUUAUGUAAGACAGUUGUGAAAUCCCCGGGCUCAACCUGGGAACUGCAUCUGUGACUGCAUAGCUAGAGUACGGUAGAGGGGGAUGGAAUUCCGCGUGUAGCAGUGAAAUGCGUAGAUAUGCGGAGGAACACCGAUGGCGAAGGCAAUCCCCUGGACCUGUACUGACGCUCAUGCACGAAAGCGUGGGGAGCAAACAGGAUUAGAUACCCCGGUAGUCCCAU